ACUAAUCAUCAUUUGAAAAAAAAAAAUAAUCCUCUACCGUCCCCAAAAUCGUGAUAGCAACCCCCAAACCCUAAAUUGCCAUUGAUUCAUACUUGGGUCUUGAAAUUGAAGGUGUUCCUGAUCGUUUCAAUACCAUCGACUUGCAAGUAGUGGUUAACCGGACACUAACUCUUUGGCUUUUCCAUACUGAUCGGAUUUUCUUCGCAAACUGUUGCUAGGGUACACAUCAGUGCUAUGAUGCAUCAUGGAGUCGCAUUGCUUUUAUCAAACAUUUAGACUCUGCUUUAACUACAUUAGAUAUUUUUAUUUUAUAAUUAUUUUCACUUUCGCAACUCAAAAAUGUAAACAGUAUUUUCUCAUGAAUGAGCAAACAGUGAUUUUUUUUAAACUUA